AGCUUGAGCUUACAGGAUUAGAUUGACAGGUAGUCCACGCUGUAAACGAUGUCAACUAGCUGUUGGUUAUAUGAAAAUAAUUAGUGGCGCAGCAAACGCGAUAAGUUGACCGCCUGGGGAGUACGGUCGCAAGAU
rnacentral:rRNA from 1 species